UACGUAGGGACCGAGCGUUGUCCGGAAUCAUCGGGCGUAAAGAGCGUGUAGGCGGCCCGAUAAGUCCGCCGUGAAAGUCCAGGGCUCAACCCUGGAAUGCCGGUGGAAACUGUCGGGCUGGAGUCCGGAAGAGGCGAGUGGAAUUCCUGGUGUAGCGGUGAAAUGCGCAGAUAUCAGGAGGAACACCAAUGGCGAAGGCAGCUCGCUGGGACGGUACUGACGCUGAGACGCGAAAGCGUGGGGAGCAAACAGG
rnacentral:rRNA from 1 species